rnacentral:sRNA from 1 species
GUCGUGAGAUGUUGGGUUAAGUCCCGCAACGAGCGCAACCAUUAUCUUUUGUUGCCACUCUUAUCUAGCUUGCUAGGUAAGAAGCACUCUAAAGAGACUGCCUGGGAUAACCAGGAGGAAGGUGGAGAUGACGUCAAGUCAGUACGGCCUUUAUGCCCUGGGCGACACACGUGUUACAAUGGGUAGGACAAAGGGUUGCCAACCCGCGAGGGGGAGCUAAUCUCAAAAACCUAUCCUCAGUUCAGAUUGGAGUCUGCAAUUCGACUCCAUGAAGCCGGAAUCGCUAGUAAUGGUAGAUCAGCAUGCUACCGUGAAUACGUUCCCGGGCCUUGUACACACCGCCCGUCAAGCGAUGGGAGCGAGGAGUACCCGAAGUGUUAUGUAGAUAGCCCUAAGGUAAAACUCGUGACUGGCGCUAAGUCGUAACAAGGUAGCCGUACGGGAACGUGCGGCUGGAUCACCUCCUUUCUAUUCUAUUAUAGGGUAGGAAACAGCACAAUGUAUCAAGUCCUUCUUUGAGAGGAUGUUUUAAGUUAGUUUCUUCUCUUCGGAAUGACUUGGCUCAAAUUUUUUAUAAAACGGCUCGUUGGAGAAACGAGAAAUUGUUUCUUCAGCGAGCAAGUUUUUCUAUAAAAGUGGCUAUGCCACUGGCUAGACCGUUAUUACGGGCCCGUAGCUCAGUUGGUUAGAGCGCGUCCCUGAUAAGGACGAGGUCAGUGGUUCGAUCCCCCUCGGGCCCAUUUUUCGAGGGGCCGUAGCUCAGUUUGGUAGAGCGCCUGCUUUGCAAGCAGGAAGUCAAGAGUUCGAUCCUCUUCGGCUCCACCAUUUUUUAAGCUCGGACGAAAAAGAUUUGAACAAUAGAUGUUGAGCAUAUAUAUUUGGAUCCUGCUACUGGCAGGAUCGUCGUGCUCUUUGACAAUUAUGAAAUAUAGGGUAAUACAAUUUCGAUGUAGUUUUUCGAUUAUGAUCAAGCUACAAAGGGUUUAUAAUGAAUGACUUGGCAGACAAAAGGCGAUGAAGGACGUGGUAAGCUGCGAUAAGCUACGGUAAGCUGCAAAUAAGCUUCAACCCGUAGAUGU